GUUUAGUGUUAAAAGUGAACAGACCUAGCAGUGAGGUCACCAGGCGUGGUUUCUGGAUAGCAUUGGUGGUUCCAUCUCCAAGUUGUCCCUCAUCAUUGUCUCCCCAGGAAUACACCUCCCCUGUAGACACAACUGAAUGGAAGACAGACGUCCCACAUGUACUAACAGAGAUUGACAGUCAGUGAACUACAGCAUUACUGAUCUACACGUACAAAAGUAAGGCCAUACCUAGCUUUCCAUAAUCACCAUCUCCCCAUGACCAGACGUUGUCAUCAUCAGUGAUACACAGUGUCUGAGCAUCACCACUGCCACACGCAAUGUCAAUUACAUGCAGUGACUGCAAAUAGAGUCUGCUCUCCUCCGACAAGUUGGAUUGGCCUUGUGACAGCCAGAGCCUCACAGCUGACUGGCUGCUUGACCUUGGCACCAUCUACUCCUCCAAGCUGACCCCUGUGAUUGUG